UGGGGAAUAUUGGACAAUGGGGGAGACCCUGAUCCAGCCAUGCCGCGUGUGUGAAGAAGGCCUUAUGGUUGUAAAGCACUUUAAGCGAGGAGGAGGCUCUUUUGGUUAAUACCCAAGAUGAGUGGACGUUACUCGCAGAAUAAGCACCGGCUAACUCUGUGCCAGCAGCCGCGGUAAUACAGAGGGUGCGAGCGUUAAUCGGAUUUACUGGGCGUAAAGCGUGCGUAGGCGGCUUUUAAGUCGGAUGUGAAAUCCCCGAGCUUAACUUGGGAAUUGCAUUCGAUACUGGGAAGCUAGAGUAUGGGAGAGGAUGGUAGAAUUCCAGGUGUAGCGGUGAAAUGCGUAGAGAUCUGGAGGAAUACCGAUGGCGAAGGCAGCCAUCUGGCCUAAUACUGACGCUGAGGUACGAAAGCAUGGGAGCAACA
rnacentral:rRNA from 1 species